rnacentral:rRNA from 1 species
UGGGGAAUAUUGCACAAUGGGCGCAAGCCUGAUGCAGCCAUGCCGCGUGUAUGAAGAAGGUCUUCGGGUUGUAAAGUACUUUCAGCGGGGAGGAAGGGAGUAAAGUUAAUACCUUUGCUCAUUGACGUUACCCGCAGAAGAAGCACCGGCUAACUCCGUGCCAGCAGCCGCGGUAAUACGGAGGGUGCAAGCGUUAAUCGGAAUUACUGGGCGUAAAGCGCACGCAGGCGGUUUGUUAAGUCAGAUGUGAAAUCCCCGGGCUCAACCUGGGAACUGCAUUCGAAGCUGGCAGGCUAGGGUCUUGUAGAGGGGGGUAGAAUUCCAGGUGUAGCGGUGAGAUGCGUAGAGAUCUGGAGGAAUACCGGUGGCGAAGGCGGCCCCCUGGACAAAGACUGACGCUCAGGUGCGAAAGCGUGGGGAGCAAACAGG